rnacentral:rRNA from 1 species
UACAGAGGUCCCAAGCGUUGUUCGGAUUCACUGGGCGUAAAGGGUGCGUAGGUGGUGAAGUAAGUCGGAUGUGAAAUCUCGGAGCUCAACUCCGAAACUGCAUUGGAAACUACUUUGCUCGAGGGUUGGAGGGGGGACUGGAAUUCUCGGUGUAGCAGUGAAAUGCGUAGAUAUCGAGAGGAACACCAGUGGCGAAGGCGAGUCCCUGGACAACUCCUGACACUGAGGCACGAAAGCUAGGGGAGCAAACAGG